rnacentral:tRNA from 1 species
GCCGAGAUAGCCAAGGUGGUCAAGGCACCUGUCUGAAGAACAGGCCAUGUCAGUUCGACUCUGACUCUCGGCAC